rnacentral:tRNA from 1 species
CAAAUUAUAGUCUUAGUGGCGGUAUUAUUUACAUUAGUAUGUUAGUUGUGCGAUUCAACUUGAUUUGA